rnacentral:rRNA from 1 species
UUGGCGAACGGGUGAGUAACGCGUGAAUAACCUGACUCAAAGAGGGGGGAUAACAACGGGAAACUGUUGCUAAUACCGCAUGAGACCACAACACCGCAUGAUGAAGGGGUCAAAGAUUUAUCGCUUUGAGAGGGGUUCGCGCCCCAUUAGGUAGUUGGAGGGGUAACGGCCCACCAAGCCAACGAUGGGUAGCCGAGCUGAGAGGCUGAUCGGCCACACUGGAACUGAGACACGGUCCAG